AUUGAACGCUGGCGGCAGGCCUAACACAUGCAAGUCGAGCGAGAGGCGCACGCGUGAGGAAAGUAUGGGGACUCCACGAUAGAGGGGGAUAACUACUCUAGAAGGUAUCUAUUACAGCAUACUAUAGGAUACACCCUAUGGGGUUAGGUAGUGGGUGAGGUAAGGGCUCACCUAGGCGACGCUCCCUAGCUGGUCUGAGAGGAUGAUCAGCCACACUGGGACUGAGAAACGGCCCAGACUCCUACGGAGGCAGCAGUGGGGAAUAUUGCACAAUGGGCGCAAGCCUGAUGCAGCCAUGCCGCGUGUAUGAAGAAGGCCCUAGGGUUGUAAAGUACUUUCAGUCGGGAGGCGUUACCGACAGAAGAAGCACCGGCUAACUCCGUGCCAGCAGCCGCGGUAAUUC
rnacentral:rRNA from 1 species